GGGAGAAUCUCCUGACUUCCAGGAGAGCACCAUGGGAGAGAUGGUCUCUCUUCUUCCGUAAUGCCUGGAACCACGGCCGCCAUCUUGUAACCAGCAUGAGGACAAAGCCAACGUCAUGGUGGGCAAGACAAGGUGACAGGAAGGACCUAGCUCCUUGAGGACACCUCUGGGCCAUGGACCAGCCAAGCCUGAAGCCUCCCUGUAACUUCCUGUUAUGUGACAUCAUACAUAUCCUUAUUCUGGAAUUCUGUCAACUUCCAUGCAACUUCCAUGCCUGUUCCUGAUACAAGACCAGGAAGCUGAAGCUGUGCUGGUGUGCAUGGUGCUUUUGCCCGAGUCAGGGAAGCCGUAUCUUCCCCAGCCUGUGGAGUGGGCUACAGUUGGCUUUCAACCCAAACUGGCCCCCUACUCCAGGAACCCCCACACAGCAGACAGCCCACACAGCGGUCACAGAGAACAUCUGGCAAAGUCCCCAGGUCCCCCUGCCAGACUGGUACACCUGCAGAGACCGAGAGCUCCCUCCCUCCAUUCCAGAUAAUGCUGGCCUCAGAGAAGUUCAGGUGGGGGCGGGGGUGCCAAGGGCUGAAUGCAACCCCCCUCCACCCCAGCUCAGUCCGCCCUUCAUGUGUGCUUUGUUUUGAACAAUUCACAUUUCCUCGAGUCUUACAAAGUGCUAUUUCCGUGCAACUUCGAGCCCCACCCCACUUCCUUUCCAACCAGAGUGACCCCUGCAUAGCUCUAAUGGAAACCCUGGAGCCGACGAGGCUGGGGCCUGAGCACCUCCGACCAUGCUCCCCCUCGCGUCUACCCAACCCGGCCCGGGGCCGCUGCCCGCUCUCGGCUCAGCUGUGGACCUGACGGAGCCAGGACACCGUAAAGAUGCAGCUGUGUGCAGUAGUCAAAGAUAGGAGUUUGGAGUCAGUUGGAUACAAGUUCGGCUUGUUGUCAGCUGUGUGACUUUCAGCAAGUGACUUCACCUCUCUAGUCCUGUCUACGAAACAGGGAUAAC
ensembl:lncRNA